GAUCAUGGCUCAGAUUGAACGCUGGCGGCAGGCCUAACACAUGCAAGUCGAGCGGAUGACAGGAGCUUGCUCCUGAAUUCAGCGGCGGACGGGUGAGUAAUGCCUAGGAAUCUGCCUGGUAGUGGGGGACAACGUUUCGAAAGGAACGCUAAUACCGCAUACGUCCUACGGGAGAAAGCAGGGGACCUUCGGGCCUUGCGCUAUCAGAUGAGCCUAGGUCGGAUUAGCUAGUUGGUGAGGUAAUGGCUCACCAAGGCGACGAUCCGUAACUGGUCUGAGAGGAUGAUCAGUCACACUGGAACUGAGACACGGUCCAGACUCCUACGGGAGGCAGCAGUGGGGAAUAUUGGACAAUGGGCGAAAGCCUGAUCCAGCCAUGCCGCGUGUGUGAAGAAGGUCUUCGGAUUGUAAAGCACUUUAAGUUGGGAGGAAGGGCAUUAACCUAAUACGUUAGUGUUUUGACGUUACCGACAGAAUAAGCACCGGCUAACUCUGUG
rnacentral:rRNA from 1 species